rnacentral:lncRNA from 1 species
CCCAAGGGAGGGCAAGGUGGGGGUGGGUGGGGUCCUGGGCUCCCCCUGCCGGGGCCCAGCAUGAGCAGCGCCUACCACUGGGAGGCCCUUGCACCGGCAGAUGGCUCUGGACUGGAGGCGGAGGCUGCUGGCCCAGCAGGAGCAGCAGGAGCUGAAGAAAGACAGGAAGGAGGAGGAACAUCGCUCUGAGAAGAAACCCCAGCCACAGCCGGAGCCCGAGGAGCCUGGGCCGACGCGGGCGCAACUCCAGCGGCUGCUACUGCCGCCGCCGCCGCCAGGCCCCGGGAGACAGGACGCCCGGCCUCAGUGCUCCUUCCUGCCCAACCUCCAGGCGGGGCAGCCCCCCUGCGGGGGCCGCAGACCCCAAGCCUGGCCGCCCAUCCUCCCCGGCCCCGGUCAGUGGGGUGCGGGGUGCCAGCCUCCCUGCCUCUGGUGGGCUCCUGGGAGAAACCUGAGCCUUCCUAGGGAUGAGGGGCAAGGCCUCAGGCGGCAGAGGGGCGGGGCAGGCAGGGGCGGGGCUUCCCGCGCCCCCGCUGAGACUCCUCUGACCCUGGUCUGGCCCGGCACCUCGGCUCUCCUUGGCAUUCAGUCACUGUGCUUGUUUCUGUCACCAGGCCUCAGGAACCCAUGCCAGCCUGGACCUGCCAAAAAUACCGGGUACUCGAGACUCACGGUGAGACGGGGGCAGCAGGACAGGCAGCGUGGCUGCAGUGCACUGGGGAUGGAACCUGGGGGUUCGCUACCACUGAGCUGCAUCCUUACCCUCAGGGCCUUGCUAAGCUGCUCCUUGGCCUCAAACUUGUGCUCCUCCUGCCUCGCGCAGGGCUGGGAUUCCCGGUGUGUGGCACCGUGUCUGGCAGGCUAG